rnacentral:rRNA from 1 species
GACGAACGCUGGCGGCGUGCCUAAUACAUGCAAGUAGAACGCUGAAGGAGGAGCUUGCUCUUCUGGAAGAGUUGCGAACGGGUGAGUAACGCGUAGGUAACCUGCCUGGUAGCGGGGGAUAACUAUUGGAAACGAUAGCUAAUACCGCAUAAGAGUAGAUGUUGCAUGACAUUUGCUUAAAAGGUGCAAUUGCAUCACUACCAGAUGGACCUGCGUUGUAUUAGCUAGUUGGUGGGGUAACGGCUCACCAAGGCGACGAUACAUAGCCGACCUGAGAGGGUGAUCGGCCACACUGGGACUGAGACACGGCCCAGACUCCUACGGGAGGCAGCAGUAGGGAAUCUUCGGCAAUGGACGGAAGUCUGACCGAGCAACGCCGCGUGAGUGAAGAAGGUUUUCGGAUCGUAAAGCUCUGUUGUAGGAGAAGAACGAGUGUGAGAGUGGAAAGUUCACACUGUGACGGUAUCUUACCAGAAAGGGACGGCUAACUACGUG